GUGCCAGCCGCCGCGGUAAUACGUAGGUGGCAAGCGUUAUCCGGAAUUAUUGGGCGUAAAGCGCGCGUAGGCGGCAAGAUUAGUCUGAUGUGAAAGCCCCCGGCUCAACCGGGGAGGGUCAUUGGAAACUGUCUUGCUUGAGUGCAGAAGAGGAGAGUGGAAUUCCAUGUGUAGCGGUGAAAUGCGCAGAGAUAUGGAGGAACACCAGUGGCGAAGGCGGCUCUCUGGUCUGCAACUGACGCUGAUGUGCGAAAGCGUGGGGAUCAAACAGGAUUAGAAACCCCUGUAGUCC
rnacentral:rRNA from 1 species